rnacentral:lncRNA from 1 species
ACCCUGUCCUAUGUGGACGUCAGCACUGGGAAGUGCACAGCCAGAGAACAACACAUCACACACAAGAAACAGUUGUGCUCAUGUGAUGGGGGCCUCAGCACUAGGAAGGAGUGGACUGUUGGCGCACGCAGCAGCUUGAAUAAAUCUGAAAGUCACUACGCUGCGUAAGAGAAGCCAAAUAAAGCGCAUGCUGUGUACAGAGGGUGUCGAGAAUGUGUCCUACGUGACGGAAAGCAGAUCCGUGGUUCCCUGCAGACUGGCAGGAGCAGAUUCCAAAGGCACAGGAAGAAGCUUGCAGGCAGCUAUUCCCAACCCCAGAACCUUUGCUGUCUUGGAACAGAUCACCACUGCAAGAGGGGAAGUUGCUACUGUGAUGAAUUCUGCCAUGUGGUACCAGACUGCUACCCAGACCACAGUGUCCUCUGCAACCCUCGUAACUCACAUACAGGCCUGAUUCCACCUACAGCAAAGCUGGAUGCUAUGGUUGGCAGAGGCAAACCCUUUGCCUGC